rnacentral:tRNA from 1 species
GCCGAAGUGGCGGAACUGGCAGACGCGCAGGAUUCAAAAUCCUGUCGGGCUUACACCCGGUGAGGGUUCGAUUCCCUCCUUCGGCA